GUCAAGUCCUCAUGGCCUUUAUGACCAGGGCUGCACACGUCCUACAAUGGCGUACACAAAGGGAGGCAAACUCGCGAGAGCAAGCAAAUCCCAUAAACCCGAUCGUAGUCCGGAUCGCAGUCUGCAACUCGGCUGCGUGAAGUCGGAAUCGCUAGUAAUCGUGAAUCAGCGAUGUCACGGUGAAUACGUUCCCGGGUCUU
rnacentral:rRNA from 1 species